rnacentral:rRNA from 1 species
UACUUCGGGCUUCGGGCUUUCGGGCCGUGCUUGCGAUAAAAAGUCAACUUCGGGUUCGGGCCGGGCUUGAUAGAAAGCCCGACGUUUUGUUCCAGGCUUGGGCCGGGCUUACAGUUCGGGCCGGGCCCAAAAAACCCGGCCCGAGCCCGGCCUAGCAGCCCGGCCCGACAGGUACUGGCCCAAAUGAGGUCUGGCUACCUGUGCGGACGAGCGGCGAGGAGCCCCGGUCGGGGAGGGCGGCGCGGCCUAGUGCGUAGCCGAACCCCUGGGGAGUCCCUACGGCGGGGUGUGGGUAGACUACGGUCGUGGGGAGGGCGGUACGACGGGAAGACGAGGCGGCGCGGGUGGGGUACGAGGGGGGAGACGGGUCACUGGCGGCCGCGCACCCGCGACGCCUCCCAGCUCCGGCCGCGCGAGUCCAGGAAGGGGCGGCUGGGCGAGCAGUGCGUCCGCCACGGGCUGGCGAGCGAGAAGAGGCUGAGGCGGUAGAAGAGGGGAUGCGGCCGCGCGGGCUGCUGUAGCACGGCCCCAACGGAGCCGGCGGCUCGACGGGCUGGGAGAGACCGCGCGGCCCCAGCUGGGCGGCAACUACGGGCAGAGGCGGCAGCUGGACCGGCGCCUGCGACACCAGCCACGCCAGUGGCUGCUACGGCGCGUCGUCCGGACUACCUGCGCCUCUACGGGUGGUGUAAGGGCCGGCUGCGCUGGCCGCAGCUCCUCAGGCACCGGUCCAAGUAGCUGUUCGAGUCGUUCGUCUAUAAGGUCCGCCUCCUGCGAGAGUGGCUUCCGAUGCUGUUCGAGUCCGACAGCCGCAUGCUGCGAGAGCCCCGGAUGUCCUUCCGCUAUUCCCCUCAGCGACCAUCGGAGUGCAGGAGCCACCGUCGGUGGUUCUUCGUCCGGCGACCACCCCAGGGCCUGCAAAGGCCACCUAAAGUCCUAUUCCACCGGCCUCGACGGUGCAGCAGGGAGCAUAUGAUGAUACCGAGCCGGUUCAGCAGCAACGGUGGUUUACAAUUUCUAAACGACUUGAGUAGGCUCCUCUUUCGAUUGUAUCAUAACGGUGGUUAACCUUCACGGGAGGUUGUCCAUAUGUAAUAGUAUCUUCCGUACUUUAAAACCGACUAACCGACGUACAGCGAAGCCUAAACCUACUCUCCUUCGGUGGGUCUUUUACCGGUCUUCCUUCGUGGUAUACACGUCACGAAACCGGUGUAUUUUCCUUCCUCGGGUGGCAGCCGUAGAGGGUACCGGCUCUUCUGGCUCCUGGGUCGCGGGAGUUCAUGCUACCUCAAGAAAGACAACGCUGAAUACCUGUUCCUGAGCCGCCUACUAAGGAGGAACUGAAAGAUGGUCGACGCGGGACUGACGCAAGUGUCGCAGGGGUGCGGCACAAGUUCUGGUUCAAGAUUGGGUGUAUAGGUUAGAGGGAGGUACCUAGAGCGGAGAGUAACUGGUUCUCGUUGUUAAGUUGAGUUAAACUCUAAAUGUUUUCUCUACCUGGAUCUCGUUUGUUGGACGCUCCGAACCAAGCACAGGUAGCUGUUGCAACGACGGCAUACAGUUCACACGAUGUAGACCAGCGAGUUCCGGUUCCUCCACUACUUUCCGAAGAACUAUUCAAAAAUCGACAGACUAAGUUUAGGUAUAUCGAACGCUCUACUACCGUAUCAUAAUAGACUGUAAAAUAGACAUAAACUAAUUUACAGAAAGGGAAAUUCUUUAUAUCACGUUACCUUAACUUAAAAUCUUUGUUGGCAACCAAUGAUAAUAAACACUUAAGAUAAAUUGCGAAGUGCUAAAAAAGG